ensembl:snoRNA SNORD42 Small nucleolar RNA SNORD42
GCGCAAAUGAUGGAAUAUUCACUAUUCAGAAAGGAAUGAUAUGAACAAAGGAACCACUGAUGCGC